CCUAUGGGUGGCUGCAGUGGGGAAUAUUGGACAAUGGGGGGAACCCUGAUCCAGCCAUGCCGCGUGUGUGAAGAAGGCCCUCGGGUUGUAAAGCACUUUCAGUGAGGAAGAACGCCUGGUGGUUAAUACCCAUCAGGAAAGACAUCACUCACAGAAGAAGCACCGGCUAACUCCGUGCCAGCAGCCGCGGUAAUACGGAGGGUGCGAGCGUUAAUCGGAAUUACUGGGCGUAAAGCGCGCGUAGGUGGCUUGAUAAGCCGGUUGUGAAAGCCCCGGGCUCAACCUGGGAACGGCAUCCGGAACUGUCAAGCUAGAGUGCAGGAGAGGAAGGUAGAAUUCCCGGUGUAGCGGUGAAAUGCGUAGAGAUCGGGAGGAAUACCAGUGGCGAAGGCGGCCUUCUGGACUGACACUGACACUGAGGUGCGAAAGCGUGGGUAGCAAACAGGAUUAGAUACCCCGGUAGUC
rnacentral:rRNA from 1 species